rnacentral:rRNA from 1 species
CCUGGCGGCAGUACCGCGCUGGUCCCACCUGACCCCAUGCCGAACUCAGAAGUGAAACGCCGUAGCGCCGAUGGUAGUGUGGGGUCUCCCCAUGCGAGAGUAGGGAACUGCCAGGC